rnacentral:lncRNA from 1 species
GACCAACAUGAAAGGAGAAGGGGGUUGGGGCAUGAUGCCUUUUGUCUCCUACUUGGAGGAAGGUGCUUGUUGAGCCAUGAAGUGCCCAGCACAGGCUUUGGCAGGUGAUAAUUAGCCAGGUUGGAGCUAGGACUUUGGACAAAGAGCAGUGAGCCAGCUGAGAUGAGGAAUUGUUAGCUGCCCAAGGAACCAAAGCUGGAAUUGUAGCAAGGGGAACAAUGCUUUGGUGUCUGAUCUGAAAUCCUUAGAAGCUUAUUAAUGCACCCUUCUUCCAGGACUCUUUCAAAUCAAUAUUAUACAGUUUCCUGAAGGAAAAACCAUGAAGUAGAACUGGAUUUCUUCAAUGUCACACAGGAAUGAGCAUGAAGAGGAAAUGGAAAAACAACAUGGAUCUGCAGAAAAGCAAGAGACUUGGAAUUUUGGCAACUGCCAGUCAACUGAGAUGGAGUCACAGUUCCAUGGAAUUUUGAAGGAAGCAGUUGGGCAGCUUGAGCUGUUUUGAGACUCACUUCUUUUCUGACAGUUGGGAGAAAGCCAGACUCUCUCUUGUUCAAUGAUUAUCUGACUGAGUACUGAGAAGACUUUUAGAACUUAGCUCAGAAGAAACUCUGCCAUCCAGUUGUUAUCAACAUCUCCCCUUAGAGAAAAAUCACUUUAUUUCCUGAAUUGAGAGCUCCAAUCAACAGGAAAAUAUAGGAAGUUAGAGAAACCCAUUUUCCUCUCUCCCCCCCUCCUUCUCCUUACUUCCUAUAUUUAAAAGAAUAAAAACUUUUUGUUAAAAAUUUGAGGGUGAAAG